rnacentral:rRNA from 1 species
AGAGUUUGAUCCUGGCUCAGAAUCAACGCUGGCGGCGCGCCUAACACAUGCAAGUCGAACGAGAACGGCUUCAGCAAUGGGGCCUAGUAAAGUGGCGUACGGGUGAGUAACACGUGGAUCAUCUACCUUCUAGUGGGGGAUAACCCGGGGAAACCUGGGCUAAUACCGCAUAACACCGCAAGGUCAAAGGAGCAAUUCGCUGGAAGAUGAGUCCGCGGCUGAUUAGCUAGUUGGCGGGGUAAUGGCCCACCAAGGCUUUGAUCAGUAGCCGGUCUGAGAGGACGCACGGCCACACUGGAACUGAAACACGGUCCAGACUCCUACGGGAGGCAGCAGUGGGGAAUCUUGCACAAUGGGGGAAACCCUGAUGCAGCGACGCCGCGUGGGUGAUGAAGGUCUUCGGAUCGUAAAGCCCUUUCGGCAGGGAAGAGUAAAGACGGUACCUGCAAAAGAAGCCCCGGCUAACUACGUGCCAGCAGCCGCGGUAAUACGUAGGGGGCCAGCGUUGUUCGGAAUUACUGGGCGUAAAGAGCGCGUAGGCGGCGCGGUGUGUUUGGUGUGAAAUCUCCCGGCUCAACCGGGAGGGGCCAUCGAAAACUGCCGUGCUUCGGGUACAGGAGAGGGGAGUGGAAUUCCCGGUGUAGCGGUGAAAUGCGUAGAGAUCGGGAGGAACACCAGCGACGAAGGUGGCUCCCUGGACUGUUACCGACGCUGAGGCGCGAAAGCUAGGGGAGCAAACAGGAUUAGAUACCCUAGUAGUCC